GGAAACAGCAGUUCACUUUCAUUACUAACAAUCCUUCAAACUGGAAGUACGUCUGCCUGACUUCAGCUCUUUCACUUCGAUUACCUCAAGUUUGGAGAAAACAGAAAAAAGGAUGAAGAAACCAGAUGAAGAAAUGGAAACUAGAAGCAGAGAUGGACUUUGGCUGCAGAGUCUCUGCAGAAUGAUGGACUUCAGGUGGAUUGGAGAUGACCUUUGACCUUUCCCAGAGUGAUGGGCAGCUGCGGUCACUGUGACUGCCAGAGCAGGAAUGGUUUAAAGCAGCAGAAGAGAAAUCCUGACUGACCCACUGCCUUCGGUUCCGGUCCGGUUUCAGACGAUGCCGACGCCAUAAGCACACAGGGAGGGCUGGCGAAGAAGAAGGGCAUUAUGGGGGAAAUGAACACCAACAGUUUGGGUUGUUUGGCCCCUCAGAGCAAAACAUGCAGAUUCAUUUGACAAAGAAAUAUUUUCACCAUAUUAUUCAUUCAUUUGUAACUAUUCCAAAUCCAUCCCAAAGGGGAACAUUUAGCUCUGGAUAAAUAAAGUAUUUUUAAAUCAAAGAUCUGAAAAAAGUUCAUCAACUUUUCUGGGUCAUAAAUGUGUUUAAACUGGAAACGUGGCAGGAAGCCAGACUUUCAUUUACUCUGGACCCAUUCUGCAUGUUUGAAAGCCUCUGGGACCGGAAAACAGAUGAGCUCAGCAGAACCUCCAUCUGACCCACUGACGUCAUGCGAGACCGGCUCGGAACCGCGGGGCCGGGCCGGGUUGGGCCGGGUCCAGGAGGAGGAGGCUUAAUAACCUGACAGACAAAUCAUACUGAUAAAAAGCAGAAGCCGUUUUCCUCCGGGUCAGCCCGCAGAACAUUUCAGGUCCAGUUUCUGAC